rnacentral:rRNA from 1 species
UACGUAGGUGGCAAGCGUUGUCCGGAUUUAUUGGGUUUAAAGGGUGCGUAGGCGGUCUUUUAAGUCAGUGCUGAAAUAUCCCGGCUUAACCGGGAGGGUGGCAUUGAUACUGAAGGACUUGAGUAAAGUUGAGGUAGGCGGAAUUGACGGUGUAGCGGUGAAAUGCUAGAUAUCGUCAAGAACACCGAUAGUGUAGACAGCUUACUAAGCUUUAACUGACGCUGAGGCACGAAAGUGUGGGGAUCAAACAGG